rnacentral:lncRNA from 1 species
UUUCGGAAGCACGGUAUAUUUCAAACUAUCUGCUUCAUUCUUUUGUGGUGUAAUUGUAAUUAUGUUUCCAAGAACAAAUUUUUAGCUAGUAGUUCCUUUUCUAAUACUACUUAUCUUUUCUUAGUUUUCCCCAUGUGACUUUGUUUUCCAGGUUCUAGCUGCCGAUACUUUAGUUUCUGAUUGGCUACAAUGAGUCGUCGAAACACUGACGCCGUUACCACAUUCGUCCGUCGUUACCACUUCCGUCCACCUGGAAAACAAAGGUCACAUGGGCAAUCACGGAGUUGCAGACAAGUACGACAUCGUCGACGGAAGUGAAUGAAGAAGAGAAGGAGGAGAAGAGGAAUUCUGAUUUGAAUU